CUCCCUUCUGAACCUCUUGUAAAGCAUCCUGCCAAUUUCUGCUCAUCUCUUUAAAAGCACACGGGGCCCGUGACACAGUACAAAUGGAUUUAGCUUCUGCUGCGGUUGACUAGCAAACUCACCAUUAAUUAUUGAUUUGGCCUGUCAAGCUCUAACAUCAAUUACUGCAACCAAGGCACACAGGUCUUUGGAGUUAAAAACAUUCAUAACCUUUGCAGGGGAAAGGCUUACUUUUUUGGCUCCAGAAUACUGUUUUUCUUGUACAACACAUCAUGACUCCUGUACAUACAAUCUCCACUUGCAUGCGGCUGUCUCCCAGCUCAGCCUCAAUGUGCUGUGAGGAUAAGAGGCUGCCACAGGUUGAACCAUGGGAGUUAAGGCACUUGACACAACUUACAUACACAAUGACGGGCAGAUGAACGAAGCUGGGAUCUCUGAUACUGCUGAGCUGCAGCACUACCAGAAGGUCAAGGAACUGUGUCCAGCCAUUCCUGCAUCAGGGUUUCAGGCACCUGUUAUCACCACCACCCUGUUUGCUUCACUUGUGUACCUGUGCAGCACAGAGGGAAAGCACUCAACCCAGAUCCAGGAAAAGAAUCCGAAAUGGGACAUGAAUACUGGAAUUAGUAAUUUGUCCAAGAGUGAAACAUAAAAGAAAUUUCUCUUAAGAAAUCAUCUUAAAGAUGGUAGAUAAUAGACUCUAUUUCACUGUACUUUACCGGAGAACAUUUUGCACCACGAACACAGGAGCUCUCCAGGUAGCUGAAGAAGCCUUUGAUUUUGAUCUUUGUUUCCCAGUCCUUAUGAAGUGGCGAUAGAAAUGGAGAUGAGGCAGAGAUGAUAGUUGUUGGCAUUCUGCACUGGCGCCUGGGAAGGGGAAAAAGCAAAUUUUUUGCAUGUUUAACUGAGCUUACUUCACUAGGGAUGCUGCUGGCCUCGUAAGGCUAUUGUCUUGGUACAAUAUGUUUUUGUACUUUUAUGAAUGGGCUAUUUAUGUAGAUUCUAUGGAAGAUCUUCAUUUGCUGAAAGACAAUGGAGAGAGAUGAGGAUCUCUUCCACAGGGCUACAGAUGUGAAACUGGAGGGUCCCAUGAGUAUUUCAGA
rnacentral:lncRNA from 1 species